rnacentral:rRNA from 1 species
UACGUAGGGGGCAAGCGUUGUCCGGAAUCAUUGGGCGUAAAGCGCGCGUAGGCGGCCCGGUAAGUCCGCUGUGAAAGUCGGGGGCUCAACCCUCGAAUGCCGGUGGAUACUGUCGGGCUAGAGUGCGGAAGAGGCGAGUGGAAUUCCUGGUGUAGCGGUGAAAUGCGCAGAUAUCAGGAGGAACACCUAUUGCGAAGGCAGCUCGCUGGGACGUAACUGACGCUGAGACGCGAAAGCGUGGGGAGCAAACAGG